rnacentral:rRNA from 1 species
UACACAUGCAGUCGAACGGUGAAGCAGAGUUGCUCCNNUGGAUCAGUGGCGAACGGGUGAGUAACACGUGAGCAACCUGCCCUUGACUCUGGGAUAAGCGCUGGAAACGGCGUCUAAUACCGGAUAUGAGCUGCGAUCGCAUGGUCAGCAGUUGGAAAGAUUUUUCGGUCUGGGAUGGGCUCACGGCCUAUCAGCUUGUUGGUGAGGUAAUGGCUCACCAAGGCGUCGACGGGUAGCCGGCCUGAGAGGGUGACCGGCCACACUGGGACUGAGACACGGCCCAGACUCCUACGGGAGGCAGCAGUGGGGAAUAUUGCACAAUGGGCG